rnacentral:rRNA from 1 species
GAUGAACGCUGGCGGCGUGCCUAAUACAUGCAAGUCGAGCGAACAGACGAGGAGCUUGCUCCUCUGACGUUAGCGGCGGACGGGUGAGUAACACGUGUAUCACCUACCUAUAAGACUGGGAUAACUUCGGGACACCGGAGCUAAUACCGUAUAAUAUAUUGAACCGCAUUGUUCAAUGGUGAAAGACGGCUUUGCUGUAACUUAUAGCUGCAUCCGCGCCGCAUGAGCUAGUUGGUAGGUUAACGGCUUACCAAGGCAACGAUGCGUAGCCGAACUGAGAGGCGGAUCGCCCACACGGGAGGUGAGACACGGACAAGGCGCCUACGGGAGGCAGCAGUAGGGAAUCGUCCGCAAUGGGCGAAAGCCUGACGGAGCAACGCCGCGUGAGUGAUGAAGGUCUUCGGAGCGUAAAACUCUGUUAUGAGGGAAGAACCAAUGUGUAAGUAACUAUGGACGUCUUGACGGUACCUAAUCAGAAAGCAACGGCUAACUACGUG